UCCUACGGGGCGCAGCAGGGAGGAAUAUUGGUCAAUGGGCGCGAUCCUGAACCUGCCAAGCCGCGUGAGGGAAGACGGUCCUAUGGGUUGUAAACCUCUUUUGUCGGAGAACAAAACACGCCACGCGUCCCGGUCCGCGAGUAUCCGAAGAAAAAGCAUCGGCUAACUCCGUGCCAGCAGCCGCGGUAAUACGGAGGAUGCGAGCGUUAUCCGGAUUUAUUGGGUUUAAAGGGUGCGUAGGCGGUAGGUCAAGUCAGCGGUAAAAUUGAGAGGCUCAACCCCUUCGAGCCGUUGAAACUGGCUGU
rnacentral:rRNA from 1 species